rnacentral:misc_RNA from 1 species
GAAGCCCCUGUCGUCCUACCACCAUUGCAAGACCUGGCGAUACGGAACGGGCGCGCGGUUGUGAUGGAUGACGAUGCGCUGCGCCUGCCCGCCGUUCAAUGACUGGAUCACAGAACUCCACAUUGCAGCGCCUCCCAGUUACAAGUUUCAGUCCGGCGACCGCCCACGCUGAAUGCGCUGGGCGGUAUCUACCAGAAUUGACCGCUAGCCAUAUUAAUCGCCACGGCCGUUGGGAUACCCGCGAGGAGUGUUUCCACGACCAGGAGAUAAUCAUUGAAGUAGUCCAUGUCUGGAUCCGGAUCGCCGGCCACCUGCAC